AGGGUUUGAUCAUGGCUCAGGAUGAACGCUGGCGGCGUGCUUAACACAUGCAAGUCGAACGAACCUUCGGGUUAGUGGCGGACGGGUGAGUAACGCGUGAGAAUCUGCCCUCAGGAGGGGGAUAACGGUUGGAAACGACCGCUAAUACCCCAUAUGCCUACUGGUGAAAUGAAUUUCGCCUGAGGAUGAGCUCGCGUCUGAUUAGCUAGUUGGUGAGGUAAUGGCUCACCAAGGCUUCGAUCAGUAGCUGGUCUGAGAGGAUGAUCAGCCACACUGGGACUGAGACACGGCCCAGACUCCUACGGGAGGCAGCAGUGGGGAAUUUUCCGCAAUGGGCGAAAGCCUGACGGAGCAACGCCGCGUGAGGGACGAAGGCCUCUGGGCUGUAAACCUCUUUUCUCAAGGAAGAAGAUAUGACGGUACUUGAGGAAUAAGCCACGGCUAAUUCCGUGCCAGCAGCCGCGGUAAUAC
rnacentral:rRNA from 1 species